rnacentral:rRNA from 1 species
AGCGACUCUCGGCAACGGAUAUCUCGGCUCUCGCAUUGAUGAAGAACGUAGCGAAAUGCGAUACUUGGUGUGGAUUGCAGGAUCCCACGAACCACCGAGUCUUUCUGGGCGUC